rnacentral:rRNA from 1 species
CAGCCGCCGCGGUAAUACGUAGGUCCCGAGCGUUGUCCGGAUUUAUUGGGCGUAAAGCGAGCGCAGGCGGUUAGAUAAGUCUGAAGUUAAAGGCUGUGGCUUAACCAUAGUACGCUUUGGAAACUGUUUAACUUGAGUGCAGAAGGGGAGAGUGGAAUUCCAUGUGUAGCGGUGAAAUGCGUAGAUAUAUGGAGGAACACCGGUGGCGAAAGCGGCUCUCUGGUCUGUAACUGACGCUGAGGCUCGAAAGCGUGGGGAGCAAACAGGAUUAGAUACCCCUGUAGUCCCUGUCUCUUAUACA